AUGUCUGGUAAUUUUGAUUGAGUUGAUUGAAACAAUAUAUUAUCAAAACAAUCUCUAUUGCCUAAAUUAAUUUAAUUAAAAUUACAUAGAUAUUAGUAUAAAAUUAUUUAUGCGAAUUUUGCUCAACCCAAAGGAAGACACAAUUUGACCAAAUAAUUUUGUACACGUGAUGAUAAAUGUGUGACAGUUAUAAGGUAAUUUCAUGUGAACUAUAGUCAGCCCAAAGAAAGACUAUGAUUUGAUAGAAUUUGUUGUCAAUAUUUGUCUGACUUGUCAUCUAAACUGAAAGCACUUAAGUUAGAGCUUGGUGAAGAUAUUCUCGUGCAUUUAGUUUUGAUCUCACUUCCUGCACACUUUGGGCAAUUCAAAGUGAGUUAUAACAUUCAGAAGGACAAAUGGUUCCUUAAUGAACUUAUAUCUCAAUGUGGGCAAGAGGAAGAGAGGCUGCAGAGAGAUAGAUCUGAAAGUGCGCAUUUAAGCUCCACCUCUCAGAAUAAGAAAAGAAAGAAACCUAAGGGUGUUAUUGAAGGGUUUUCUCAGCAAAAGAAACCAAAGAAGGAUGAGGAAUUUACCUGCUACUUCUGCAAGAAGUCUGGACACAUAAAGAAAGAGUGUCCCAAGUACGCCACAUGACGUGUAAAGAAAGGGUUGCUUGUGGAGCCAUCUGCCAAGUGAUGAUGAAAGAUUCAUAUUUGUUGGUGAUGGCAAAAAGGUUGCGGUGGAGGCUAUAGGAACUUUUAGAUUGUAGUUAAAGACUAGAUUUUAUUUGGAUUUGUUUGAUACUUUUGUUGUACCCUCUUUUAGAUGGAAUUUAAUUUCUAUUUCUAGUUUGGA